CUGGUUGAUCCUGCCAGUAGUCAUACGCUUGUCUCAAAGACUAAGCCAUGCAUGUCUAAGUAUAAAUGCUAUACAAUGAAACUGCGAAUGGCUCAUUAAAACAGUUAUAGUUUAUUUGGUAAUACAUUUACAUGGAUAACCGUAGUAAUUCUAGAGCUAAUACAUGCGUCAAUACCCUUCUGGGGUAGUAUUUAUUAGAUGGAAACCAACCCCUUCGGGGUGAUGUGGUGAAUCAUAAUAAGCUUGCGGAUCGCAUGGCUUCGGCUGGCGAUGGAUCAUUCAAGUUUCUGCCCCAUCAGCUUUCGAUGGUAGUGUAUUGGACUACCAUGGCUUUUACGGGUAACGGAGGAUUAGGGUUCGAUUCCGGAGAGGGAGCCUGAGAAACGGCUACCACAUCUAAGGAAGGCAGCAGGCGCGUAAAUUACCCAAUCCUGACUCAGGGAGGUAGUGACAAGAAAUAACGGGCCGGGUUCCAAAUCCGGGACUGAAAUGAGAUGAAUUUACACCCCUUAUUGAGGAUCAAUUGGAGGGCAAGUCUGGU
rnacentral:rRNA from 1 species